rnacentral:rRNA from 1 species
CCUACGGGGGGCAGCAGUGAGGAAUAUUGGUCAAUGGACGAGAGUCUGAACCAGCCAAGUAGCGUGAAGGAUGACUGCCCUAUGGGUUGUAAACUUCUUUUAUAUGGGAAUAAAACGUUCCACGUGUGGGUUUUUGUAUGUACUUUAUGAAUAAGGAUCGGCUAACUCCGUGCCAGCAGCCGCGGUAAUACGGAGGAUCCGAGCGUUAUCCGGAUUUAUUGGGUUUAAAGGGAGCGUAGAUGGAUUGUUAAGUCAGUUGUGAAAGUUUGCGGCUCAACCGUAAAAUUGCAGUUGAAACUGGCAGUCUUGAGUACAGUAGAGGUGGGCGGAAUUCGUGGUGUAGCGGUGAAAUGCUUAGAUAUCACGAAGAACUCCGAUUGCGAAGGAAGCUUACUAGACUGCAACUGACAUUGAGGCUCGAAAGUGUGGGUAUCAAACAGGAUUAGAUACCCUGGUAGUC